rnacentral:lncRNA from 1 species
UUUUUUUUUUUCUUUUUUGGUAAACUUUAAAUAUCGCAUAUGUAAUUUUAUACUUUCUCACUGUAAUAUUUUAUAAUUUAAAGUGUAUCAAGUUAGUGUCCUGUGAUUUUAUUUUUAUCCUUUCGUCAGCUUUUUCGUUAAUAUUUUGUCAAAUUAUAUACAAAAAACUUCAGAUAUCUCACCUAAGUUUAUCGAAUAUUCACUUUAGUACCAUUUAGUUUUAACUUUGUCACUAAUUUAACGAAAAAAAUUAGUGAAAUCGAUAAUAAAAAGAUGAAAAGAAAACCAUAGGACACUAAAGUGAAAAAAUGUGAAACUACACAAGUGGUAUUUUAAGUUUUUUCUUAUUUUUUUGGGGCUCAGAUGAAGUAAUUUUUGGACACAAAUAUUCAUAUUUAUCAUUAGGAGUCCGGCUGGGAUACUAUCGAUAGCACCAUGCAUUUGGUGCUAUCAAGUUUUUUACCGUUAGAUUUAAUUCUUUGACUAUUUUCACCCGUUAGAUUAUACUAUUAAACCAACAACUCACUCAACCCUAGAGGGCCCACAUCAUCUUAACCGUACAUUUUUUAAUCCAAAGACCGAAAACCUAAUAGCACCAAAUGCUUGGUGCUAUUGAUAGUAUUCCGGCCUAAGUCUUAUCAUUACUCAUUAGACUUAUCCUAACUUUAUUUUUAUUAAAAUUUAAAUAACAAAAUAAUAAUUUAUUUAUCAUAUUUUUGAUUUUUAUAUUGUUUAUUUUUUUAUCAAAUAAAUAAUAAAAUCAAAAAAAUUGCAGCUCAACUGCUAAAUAAAUAAAUAGUGAAAGAAGAAAGAUAAUAAGAGUCUAUUUUAAUCUGAAUUUCAUUUUUGAUGAAACAAACAGAAUUUUAACUUCAUAAAAAAUUAAAAAAAAAAUUGUAUGCAGACCUCAACUGUAGCUCGUGUUCAAAUAAUGUCCUCAACUUUAAUUUUAUUUUCAAACUGUUUUGGUUAUUUAAUUAUAAAGGUUGUUAAAAUUCAUAAUUGUAUAAGUUGUCAUUAUUUCAAUUAUAUUUGCUAAAAUAUAAUUUAAGUUUAGUAAUAUUUUAUAUUUCUGACUAAAUUCAAGUUAAAGGAGUCCCAAUUAAAAAUUGAGGCAAUCAUAUUUUGACCUAAAGUUGUCGGUGUACUUUUAACAAAACAUUACUUAUACAUUUCUAGAAGGAGGUGUACGAUUUACACUUCUCAAUCCAAAAAUUGUAUAAAUUUUAAAAAUUUUAGGUUUUCAUUAAAAAAAAAUGGAUAAGAUUAAAGUCAUUUUUAGCCCUCCAAUAAAGAAGAUGUAAGAUUUAUACUUCUCUUUAAGUGUAUCUAUAGUAUUACUCGUCUGUUUAUAUUUAACUCAAAUAAAAAAAUAAAAUUAUAUAAUAAUCCCUGAUCUAUUUGCUAUUUUAAAAAAGGUCACGGACUUUAUUCUGAAUGGACACCUGUCCGUUUUUAUUGUUUUGGAUUCAAGUUGUUUUAAUUAAUUUUAGAAAUUUUGCCAAACGAAUUUAUCAAAAGAAAAUGAAAUUUAAGGCCUCUUUUAAAGAAUCUGCAGUUAAAGAAAAUCUAUAUUCUAUAGCAUAUAUGUGAAUUAAAAUCUUUUCAACUUGUAUAAAAGCGCAAGAAUUCCAAAGUAUUUCUAGCAUAUUUUUAGCUAAUAAUAUUUAAAUAAUUUAUAAAUACUAACUGUUAUUAUCAUUUAAUUUAACAACUUUUUAACCGUAUUAACAAAAAUAAAUUUGAAUAAAAAAAUUAAAAGUUAAGGCCAUGUUCGAUGUUGUCGUCAUUUUUUUCACUUUUUUCAAAAUAACUUAUAUAUAAUAUUCAAGUUGUUUAUUUGGCAACAAAUAAUUAAAAUUUAAAAUAUUUAUAUUUAUUUUUAUAAUAUUUUAAAAUAUUUAUUAUUUAUUAUUUAAUUGGGAUGUGUAAUGUGUUGUAAGCUGAUCGAUAAUAAUAUUACUAAGAAAAAAUAAAUUCUCCAGUCACACUUUAAAUUAUUUAUAUAAUAAAGAUUUAAAAAAUAAAAAGACUGACCGUUCUUAAAGCAAGUGGCAAAGAGCUUGGUGGUUGGUACCCAAGACCCACGUUCGAAUCCUUGUUAAUUUAUAUUUCCAGCUAAGUUUAUUUUUAAAUGAAAUAAACGAAGCGGUUAGCAUGUUAUCUAUUUCUCUCAAAAAAAAAAAAAAUAAUGAUAGUGACAUACGGGAUGAGACCGAAAAGUAAGGUAACACAGAGGGACCUGUUUCGAAACAGUUUAUCGUUGAGGGGGGUAUCAGUACAUUUCUACCUAACAAAAAGCCACUAGCGGUGGGAGCCUAAAAAUCCGACCGUCGCAGUAAUUUGUCGGGACUCGGAACCAACGGCGGAGAUCGUACCAUAUAGCAAGCUGUGAUUGGUUAGCAGGUCACAUCUCGAGAGCUCGCGCUCUCUAAGGCCGCCACGUUUCACCCCACCCGAGUCCAACACCCACCCUAUAUAUAUUCUAUAUUGUUUUUGGGGCGCUUAAAUACCCCCGAAGCACCUCCCCACAAACGCCGCUGUGAGACGACACCUGUCCCUUCCCCCUCUCUCUCUCUCUCUCCAACGCCGAGAUCCGCACCAGAAUUCGGAGCGGAGCAGAGCGAAAAAAGCAAAAAAAAAAAAGAAGAAAAAACUGCUCCCAUCUACUACGCACCAAAACAGGUCACCCUCUUUUCUCUCUCUCUCUCCCCCUCUGUUGUAAUUAAUCGACAGCAAAAUUACCGAAUUAUUACUAUUUCUCAACGAAUUAAAGCUGAGCAUGUGUUGAUUAAGCUUGAUGAUUAGGGGUAAAGUAAUAGAAGGAUUUAAUUAGUUCUAUUUUUAGUAAGAAAAGUUUGUCCUGGAUUUUAGCUAAGCUGCUCGGGUAAGCGUGCUAUUUGUUGCAAAUUAAGGAUAACUGCUUAAACUGUAUGGUAUGUGUGGGGGGUUGUUUUGUUUCCUGCUCGUUUGUGGGAGUACGGCCGGGGAGGAGGAUGAGAUUAAUCAGGGGUUUCUGGGGCUGAAUUCGUGUUAGNGCGUGCUGUUUUUUUUCUUAAAAAAAUAAAAGUGGCAUUGUUCGAAGAAAGGAGCGGAAGGAAGCGCAGCAAAGGGAAAGAGACGAAAGGGAGCGGAAGAAUGAGGUAGGGAUGCGGCGCGAAGAAUGAAAUAUUUUUUUUUAAAAAAAGUUUAACCAGUUUUUUCACUCGAAAAUUACUGUUCAACUAAAAAGAAAUGGUCUAUUAUUUUAUAUUACAACUUUGUCUAACAAGCUUCAUCCUUUCAAUAGUUUAAAUUUUUAAAUUUCAAUAUAAAAUAGUAAUAAAAUUAGUUAAAGGAAUUUAUAUUCUGUUUAUAGAUGCGCAACUAGUGCUGCUAUUUUUAGAAAUCAAAAUGUUUCCGUUCUUACGUGCUUCGUCAAAUGUACGACCCGUAAACCUCUCGACAUUGUGCGUUUUGACGAUUAAGGCAAGUGUGGUCCCAUUCCCAACAUCCCGCGUGCAUGCGCUCUCGUGUUCUCACCAUUUUUCGUAAAAAAAAUAUUUUUCCUAUCAAUAAGUUAUAAUAAAGCAUCUUACAAAUUGUAAAAUUUAAUAAUUAAAUUUUAAUCUUAAAAUUCCAAAUUUUAUUUUCUUAUUAAAUUAAAUAUUAAAUACUAUUUAAUUUAUAUUUAUAUUUUAUUUUUUAAGCUAUCGUCCGCGCCCAAAACUCGGGGAGUCCGUUCCAAUCAAUACGACUACGAACUGAUAAUAAUAAUAAUAAUAAUAAUUAAAAUUAAUAAUUGGUAAUAAAUAAAUGGGGCAUCUUUAUCCCCACCCUAUCACAAAGUCGAAGUCACAUCAUUGUUUCAAUAGCAAAUUUUGCACCCUCUUACUCUAACUCCACCCAGUUAAAAUGUACCCAAAAGGAGACCUUCGAAUCCCACGACGCCACGACCACAAUGUCUACACAUGCCGAGACUUUCUUUUUCGUGAGCACGCACUCUUAUCCUUUCGCUUUGCUCACCUCACCCACCCGCUUUUCCGUGUGAUUUACUUUUUUUUUUUUUUCUUUUUUGGUAAACUUUAAAUAUCGUACAUGUAAUUUUACACUUUUUUACUGUAAUAUUUUAUAAUUUAAAAUGUAUCGAGUUAGUGUCCUGUAAUUUUAUUUUUAUUUUUUCGUCAGCUUUUUUCGUUAAUAUUUUGUUAAAUUAUAUACAAAAAACUUCAGAUAUCUUACCUAAGUUUAUCGAAUAUUCACUUUAGUACCAUUUAGUUUUAACUUUAUCACUAAUUUAACGAAAAAAUUUAGUAAAAUCGAUAAUAAAAAGAUGAAAAGAAAACCAUAGGACACUAAAGUGAAAAAAAUGUGAAACUACACAAGUGGUAUUUUAAGUUUUUUCUUGUUUUUUUGGGCUCAGAUGAAGUAAUUUUUGGGCAUAAAUAUUUAUAUUUAUCAUUAGGAGUCCGGCUGGGAUACUAUCGAUAGCACCAUGCAUUUGGUGCUAUCAAGUUUUUCACCGUUAGAUUUAAUUCUUUGACUAUUUUCACCCGUUAGAUUAUACUAUUAAACCAACAACUCACUCAACCCUAGAGGGCCCACAUCAUCUUAACCGUACAUAUUUUAAUCCAAGAACCGAAAACCUAAUAGCACCAAAUGCUUGGUGCUAUUGAUAGUAUUCCGGCCUAAGUCUUAUCAUUACUCAUUAGACUUGUCCUAACUUUAUUUUUAUUAAAAUUUAAAUAACAAAAUAAUAAUUUAUUUAUCAUAUUUUUUAUUUUUAUAUUGUUUAUUUUUUUAUCAAAUAAAUAAUAAAAUCAAAAAAUUUGCAGCUCAAC